rnacentral:rRNA from 1 species
CACGUAGGGCGCAAGCGUUGUCCGGAAUACUGGGCGUAAAGCGUGCGCAGGCGGUUCGUUAAGUCAGAUGUGAAAGCCCCGGGCUCAACCUGGGAACUGCAUUUGAAACUGGCGGGCUUGAGUAUGGCAGAGGGGGGUGGAAUUCCGCGUGUAGCAGUGAAAUGCGUAGAGAUGCGGAGGAACACCGAUGGCGAAGGCAGCCCCCUGGGCCAAUACUGACGCUCAGGCACGAAAGCGUGGGGAGCAAACAGG